CUUAGACCAUGUAGUAUAGAAUGUCAGCUGGGGAUGGGCCUUAGGACACAGAACCUAGAACUUCAGAGCAGAGAAGGACUUUGGAACCUAGAAUCUGGAAUGUCAGAGGAGAAGGGAUCUCAGGAUAUAGAACCUAAAAGGAGAGGGAAUCACACUGGGAGGGCCGGUAAGCUGCAGAGCGCAGAACAUUAGAGCUGGGAGAUGUGUGCUCUCUAGGCAGGGGAGGGGAGGAAGCCUCUCUCCUGAGAAGGUGUCCUGGGGGGACAGUGUGAUGUGGGGCUGUGCCUUGCAGCAGGAGCCUAGCCACCUGUCCUCUCCCGUUCUAGCCGGUUUAGACUGGAGCUAAAUGGCACCUCCAGCUGUCCUCAGCCUUCAUCCAGAAGACUCUGCUCAGCCCUGUUCCCAUCCAUCACUUGCUGUGGCAGCCGGCAGGCUGGGGCCGGAGGCUUCCCAAAGAGGAAGGGAAUGUGGAGACCCUAGGACAGCUGGGUAUGCUGUCACCAGGCUGGGGCCCCCGAAGAAAAAACUUGUGAGCUGCAAAACUACUGCCCAUGAGCAAAUGCAACUCAGCAGCCUGAAAAAGGAAACCCCAGGCUCCUGGGACUUCCAGAAAUCGGCAUUGGCUUUGGCAAGAGAGCCAAACCACUUGAGUCCCCCAGGGAGUCUGGGGUUGGCCUGGUUACAUAGGAGCCAGCUGGGACAAGAAGCUGGGAGUUUGGGAGGAUGGGGGAACUUGCAUACCAGCCAGGCAGGCAGCUCAAGAGAGUGCGUGAUUGCCAGGGGCCCUGUGGUGAGCCAGGGUCCUUAGGCAGAGGAAGUGGGUUCGAAUUGCCACUCUGACUUGUUUCUUAUCUCUGUACCCGAAGGGCUAGGACGAUGCACUUAAUAAAUGUGGGUGAAUUGGAUUGGGUGCCUCUCUG
rnacentral:lncRNA from 1 species